GAUGAACGCUGGCGGCGUGCCUAAUACAUGCAAGUCGAGCGAACGGACGAGAAGCUUGCUUUUCUGAUGUUAGCGGCGGACGGGUGAGUAACACGUGGAUAACCUACCUAUAAGACUGGGAUAACUUCGGGAAACCGGAGCUAAUACCGGAUAAUAUUUUGAACCGCAUGGUUCAAAAGUGAAAGACGGUCUUGCUGUCACUUAUAGAUGGAUCCGCGCUGCAUUAGCUAGUUGGUAAGGUAACGGCUUACCAAGGCAACGAUGCAUAGCCGACCUGAGAGGGUGAUCGGCCACACUGGAACUGGACCACGGUCCAGACUCCUACGGGAGGCAGCAGUAGGGAAUCUUCCGCAAUGGGCGAAAGCCUGACGGAGCAACGCCGCGUGAGUGAUGAAGGUCUUCGGAUCGUAAAACUCUGUUAUUAGGGAAGAACAUAUGUGUAAGUAACUGUGCACAUCUUGACGGUACCUAAUCAGAAAGCCACGGCUAACUACGUG
rnacentral:rRNA from 1 species